GAUGAAGAACGCAGCGAAAUGCGAUACGUAAUGUGAAUUGCAGAAUUCAGUGAAUCAUCGAGUCUUUGAACGCACAUUGCGCCCCCUGGUAUUCCGGGGGGCAUGCCUGUCCGAGCGUCAUUGCUGCCCUCAAGCACGGCUUGUGUGUUGGGCCUCCGUCCUCCUCCCGGGGGACGGGCCCGAAAGGCAGCGGCGGCACCGCGUCCGGUCCUCGAGCGUAUGGGGCUUCGUCACCCGCUCUUGUAGGCCCGGCCGGCGCUUGCCGACACAUCAAUCUUUUUUCCAGGUUGACCUCGGAUCAGGUAGGGAUACCCGCUGAACUUAAGCAUAUCAAUAAGCGGGAGGA
rnacentral:misc_RNA from 1 species